rnacentral:tRNA from 1 species
GCCCAGGUGGCUUAGUGGUUGAGUGCCUGCCUUCAACCCAGGACAUGAUCCUGGAGUCCUGGGAUUAAGUCCCACAUUGGGCU